GGCCGGGUGGUGUAGUUGGUUAUCACAUCUCGUUAACACAAGUCGUUAACAGUAUUACUGUUAGACAGCAACCGAGAAGGUCCUGGGAUCGAACCCCAGCUUGGUCA
rnacentral:tRNA from 1 species